rnacentral:rRNA from 2 species
ACUCCUACGGGUGGCUGCAGUGGGGAAUUUUCCGCAAUGGGCGCAAGCCUGACGGAGCAAUACCGCGUGAGGGAGGAAGGCUUUUGGGUUGUAAACCUCUUUUAUCAGGGAAGAAAAUUUGACGGUACCUGAAGAAAAAGCAUCGGCUAACUCCGUGCCAGCAGCCGCGGUAAUACGGAGGAUGCAAGCGUUAUCCGGAAUCAUUGGGCGUAAAGGGUCCGCAGGUGGCGACUCAAGUCUGCUGUUAAAGACCGGGGCUUAACUCCGGAAAGGUAGUAGAAACUGAGAAGCUAGAGUACGGUAGGGGUAGAGGGAAUUCUCAGUGUAGCGGUGAAAUGCGUAGAUAUUGGGAAGAACACCGGUGGCGAAAGCGCUCUACUAGGCCGAAACUGACACUGAGGGACGAAAGCUAGGGUAGCGAAAGGGAUUAGAUACCCCUGUAGUCUUAGCUGUAAACGAUGGAUACUAGGCGUAGCUUGUAUCGACCCGAGCUGUGCCGAAGCUAACGCGUUAAGUAUCCCGCCUGGGGAGUACGCACGCAAGUGUGAAACUCAAAGGAAUUGACGGGGGCCCGCACAAGCGGUGGAGUAUGUGGUUUAAUUCGAUGCAACGCGAAGAACCUUACCAGGGCUUGACAUGUCGCGAAUCUCUGUGAAAGCAGGGAGUGCCUUAGGGAACGCGAACACAGGUGGUGCAUGGCUGUCGUCAGCUCGUGUCGUGAGAU